GCUUCACAGACGUAAUCAGAUGCGAGAAAGUGGGAACCAGACAGACAAAUGUUCUCGCUAAAUAAUAUUUUCUUGUUGCUGUUUGUAAAUAUUUCUCUCGGAUAUAAUUCUCUGGCUCAGGGGGUAAUGAUGAGGAUACACAAUUGGUCCGACAAAUACCAGUACUAAAGAUGACCACAUUAAAACAUACGUGUCCAGUGGUGGUGUCGAAGAAAAAUGGUGGUCCAGUAACCAUGUUUAGUUCACGGGAAACAUCGUCGUCGACUACAAAACAGGAUAAGCAAAUCAAUGUCUCCUCCCCCAUCAUCAAUCAAGCUUCUUCGCAGACAAAAUCUCCCGUACAAUUGAGGACAUUUUCAAAAAGGUUUCCAUUCAUAGACAAAUCAUAUGAGAAAAAUGGAAAAAUUGUUUCUCCACAAUCACAACCACGAUUCCUGCAUGAAAGUUGCAUUAAUAGAAAUCAAAUUCCGACCAAUCCUUUUGCACAUAAUAUUUCAGAACGCGCACAAGAAGCACAAGUACAAUCUGACCCACUGCAUUUGGAAGUUUAUUCAUAUUUAGACAUGUCAAAGAGGGGAUUUACAAAUGACCACACAUACUCUGCAAGCAAAUGCAUCGAAUGCGAAUUUUGUCACCAGAAUUUUGAGAAUUUGGAGCAGUUAAUGAGCCAUUUUGUUUCGGAUCACUCCAAAGUGACCAAAUCAUUUAUUUGUGUCCUCUGUGAUCGAACCUUUGUUUCAACCGUUCUACUAAGAAAACAUAUGGACUUACACAAGGAUGCAGAAAGCCAUGAAAUUUUCUGUGAUAUUUGCGAAGACCGAUUCAAAACAGAUGAUGACUUACAUCGACAUUUAGACUCGCACACUGUGAUUCGGGGUGUAUUUUCCUCAAUGAAGUCAUUUCAUAGUUUCAAAUGCUUAUUUUGUCGUAGCGGAUCGAACACGCGGAAGACAUUUUCAUUUUUGAGACAACAUGAGCUAAAGAAACAUCUUUCUGAGCUUAACUUUGUUUGUAAUGUCGGAAAUUGUAAGGAACCCUUUUCACACUUGUACUUACUCGAAGCACAUAAAGUUUGUCACCUCCCAGAACCUACAAAUCAAGACACGACCACUACAACGAUGACAACGGCCACGACAUAUCCUUGUUUAGUGUGCAACUAUCAGUUUGAUACGGUGAAAGCACUAAAGUACCACCAUUUAAUUCACCUAGAUUUCUUGGAAAGAUGUUCAAGACUGAACUAUAAAAAGACUUUGGAAAUGGAACUAUUUUGCAAAAAGUGUGGGAAAGCUUUUAUCCAAAGAGAAGAUGUAAAAUUGCAUGCAUGUCACUCAACUCCACUUCGAUGUGAAUUAUGUCCAGAGUAUUAUUUCACUGAGCGGCCCCACUUAGUUAACCACAUAAUUGAAAAGCAUGAAACAAUAUCUACACCCAACAAUAAAAUGUACCGAUGCUUUAAACCAAACUGUGCAAAAAGGUUCGUCACGGACUUUAUGUACAAGCGACAUCUAAGAUAUCACCAUUUGUCAAGAUGCCCUUUGUGUGAAUUUGGGAUCAAAGAAUCGAAAUACUCUAAGAAGGAUAUCAAGUCAAAAAUAAAGUCACAUAUGACCUCCUGCCAUGCUGCAGCUGAAGGAGAAGAUUCUAAAUGCACAGUUUGUUUAAAACAAUUUUGUACUCCUUUGACAUCCGUCGUCCAUUUGCGUAAACAUCAUCCAGAGAUUUUCACGUUUAUUUGUACCAUUUGUGAUAAAACGUAUUCCUCGCUAGAGCAGUUGAACGCUCACACGUUGUCUCACAAUACUGGUUUUACGGAUGCUGAAGGAACGACCCAAGAUCUCCAAAUGUUUGAAUGUUAUUGUUCCAACUCGUUCAUUUCAGUUAAUACAUUUCAAGACCAUCUUGAAUCUCAUACAGGGGAGGGUUUAUUGAUCUGUGAGUUGUGCGUCUCUCAUAAUCGUCUGGCCCCUUCGCUAUUUCAUGGUAUAGAAAAUUUGCAGAAGCACACUGAGAGAGAACAUUCUUCUGCUGGAGCUGGAACACCAAAGGACACGCCAUGGGAAAGUAUCGAUUUUGAUGCAUUGAUUGAAGAAAAUUUUCCAAGUUCAACAUGUUCAUUAUCAUUAUCAUCUCUUCCAACAACAAUUUCUUCAACACUUUCAUCCUCGCAAUCGUUGCCACAAAUAGAAAACAAAGAAGAUGUUAUCAUGAUGGAUGCAGAAAAUGACUUUGAGGUCGCUGACAAUUCCGUUCUACCGUCUAAGAGUGUCAAAUGUGAAGUAUGUGAUAAAACUCUCAGAGACAGUACAGCCCUCCGAUUACAUCAACAUACCCAUCCUGAACUUUUCAUUUAUAAAUGUCCUGAAGCAAAUUGUGACUCAAAGUUUGUCUCAGAGAUUCAUCUUUUCACUCAUGCUCAAAUUCACAGUUAUAUCCCUGAUGAGUCAUUAAUCUGCUAUUGUUGCUCAAAGUCAAGAACGUUCGAAACAAAAGAAGACCUGGCAAAGCAUCUACGCAUACAUACGCAAGACAAGAAGAAAACGUGCCCGCAUUGUCAUAAAGUAUUGCACAACACGAAACAUUUGGCAGACCACAUUGCCAAUAUACACAAAAUGAUAUUAUUCCGUUGUACUGAUUGUAACUUGACAUUUACAACCAAGGGGAAUUUAAUCCGCCACCAAAACUGUCGCCAUUCAACCUCAAAUGAAACUUUCGACUGUGCUGAGUGUCCGAAAAAGUAUCGCUCGAAAGCUAUGCUAUACUGUCACCGGAGAGAAGUUCACAACCCAAUUAUGCAACAAUGUGACCAAUGCGGCGAAAUGAUAGCAUCCUGCAAAUUUAAAAUGCACUUGCUUAAGGCGCAUGGUGUUGACACAUUUAAGCACAUAAAAGCUAGUAGAGCCCUCACGCGAUGCUACUUUUGCUCUCAGCAAUUCUCUAGCCUAGUUCAUCUUGAAUUUCAUAUGACGAGUCACACCAAUGAAAGAAAUACGUUAAUUAAGAUCCCUCCUGAAAAGGGACGGCGCACUCAGAAUCCACCAUCAAGCCUAAUUGAUUGCAAAAUAUGUGGAAAACAGUUCCAACGAAUUUACACGUACAAUAUGCACAUGAACUUUCAUAAUGGCGUUAGAAAAAUCAAAUGCUCUGUAUGCAGUAAAACAUUUUCCAACUACUUGAGCCGAGCUGGUCAUCAGCUCAGUCACCGCACCUUGAAUCCUCAAGAAAUAAACAAAAACAAGGAGACGAAGGCGUUUGCAAAAACUUGGACUUCAUUUACUUGUAAAUUUUGUCGCAAGGUCUUCACUGUGCGAACCCAGUACCAGUACCAUCUAAAUCAACACACCGGCAAAACUCCCUACAAGUGCCACAUAUGUGGUUUACGAUUUUCUCAUUCAGGACACUUUCUAGGACAUAGGAAAAAACACUUGAUGUGGGGAGAUUACAAGAAAAGGCCAGAUAACAUGAGAGGUGCUCUACCAGAAUCAGAUGACGAUGCCAUUCAUAAAGAUGACGAAAAAGUCGCCUGCCCUGACCCAAAGAAUGAACCACCAGUAAUGGAUGAAGUCAAUAAUAACACCAAUGUACCAGACCCAGCUAUUCCAUAUGAAAAUCCAUUCCCAACAUUUAGUUUACAAGAAAUGAUUUAGAUUUACGGGUUUGCAAUGACAAUGCAUGUAUUGUUAUAUAUGCAAUGGUUUCAAUACAUAGACAAGUUAAAAGAUACUAUUUACCCUUCGUUUUAUAUAAGCUGCUGCCUUCACUUGUUUAAUAAAGUAAAAUAAAAAUAACUUCGCAUGUUAAAGAAGGCAUACUUUUCUUUUUACUUUUUAGGGUCCGUACUUACUUUAUUCCGUUGAAUUACCUAUAAAUAGUAUUCAUAUUUGUGUCCUGUUUCUAGCUUUGCUUAUUAAUACGUGAAUCGCAUUCACAAUAAACUACAAUAUGCUAUGAAAAUGUCCUUUGUUUGUUCCAGUGAAAUGAGAAAGAAAUAAGUGUUUUCGGGUUCUCUCCUACACGGCUACACGCUACAGCUACACGUGGGUGGAAUGAAAGCUUAGUUGAUUUUGACUAUUUUAGAUAUGAAUCAGCGGCAAUCAGUGUUAGUGUCCAAUCGCCGAUAAAAUCGUCUAAAAUUCUGAGUACAUUUUGGCUCUCUAAUGAAAAAAGUAACCCCAAAAACUGCCAAAGGUCUUUAAAUAUAGUUACCUAAACCUAACAGUAACAAACAGUGACCUGCUCAACAAAGUGCCCCUGACCAUACGACUCAGGAAUGGGGCGAAAAGGAAAGCGUCCCUUGACCUUGAACACCUGUCCCCCCAUCCUUGACCAUGAAAUGUCAGACAUAAUUGGUCAAAGCACGCCUCCCAAACACCCUCCAAAGUUGAUCAAAGCCGCCAUUCAUCAACCGGAAAUAGUUUUUUGUUCCACGUGCUCGGCUGAAAUAGAUUUGAAACCACAGGUCAUACAUUCGGCCGAUAAUGCACAACCACUUGAUCCACUCCCACCGACAACAGCAACAGGUCAAAUUAGUCUCGGUACACUUUGUGCACAAUUUGGACUUGGCCAAGAUUUCAUAAUGGGGUCUAGGAAGGAUUACGUAGAUAUGAAAACUUCUUGCCACUUUUGCUGGGAUUGUUUCACAAUUGUUGAAGAAGUUCAAGAACUAAAACAUCACAUUGAACUCUUACGGGUUGAUAUGACCUCGAGGAUGGUCACACUGAAAUCUCGGCUUCACGAAAGUCGAAGUCUACGGUUAUCUGAGCAUAAAAGGGGCAGACCGCGACAUAAUGUUGCAACGCUCAACAAAAUUCAGAAAGUUCUAAGUAAGGCGUUUGGUCCAGAGUUAUUACCAAACCCGAUAGCAUCAUCAUAUUCGAAUAUUCCAUGUUACAAAAAUAUUGACGAGGAGGAGGAUGGGAAUGAAAUCCCCAAUCGAAAGAGGAUAAAGACAGAACCUAGACAGACGUUACCUGCCAGUUUUAAUUUUAAUGGACGCCAAAUAUUAACCAUCCCAGUUAUUAAAUCUGAAUUUAGGACCAAUGAUUAUGGCAGUACAAUCCAAAUGAAUGCAUUCAAUAAUAAAAAACCAAUCCGUCAACUGCGCCAGAAACGAAAGUACAUAAAAAAAGAAGCAAAUAUUAAGAAGAAUGAAAGCAAAUUCGCAUUUAAAGCAGAAGAAAAAAUUGGAUUUGAGAGCGACGACGAGUGGAACCCUGUUCCGGAACGCCAAAAAAGAAAAUACAGGAAGAGGAAGCAAGUAAAACAAGAAGAUCCUGAAAAAAAUCUAAACCUAAUAAUUGAUUACCACAAUGAGAUUGAUGAGAACAAUGAUUACGGAGAUGACUUUUUAAUGCCGAUAAUUAAAUGUGCGAAAACAGAGAAUAUAUCGUUCAUGCAAGGAUAUUCAACGCCUGCUUUGCUUAGUUAUGGCGAUGGAAAGUGGUUGACGGACAAUAUUGAGUUGGCAGAAAAAGGAAUUAUUGUGAGGCCCACACUCUAUCACCAUUAUUCUGAAUAUUGCUUAAAGAACAAUCGAGAAACCCCAAACCAAGCUACAUUUGGGAAGCUUGUGAGAAG